GUUCAAGGGCAAAGUCGGCAAUCCAACAGAAUUGUAACUCUUUAAAUUACCAAACUAACCUCAAAAGUGCAUAUACUAUGCCUACUUGGCAACGACCCACAAAUCAAACACUUAACCGACUUGCUUACAUGGCCAAAAUCAUUGCAAACCAGAUGUCAGCUGGACAGAUCUUAUUUGAAACGGUGAAACGAUAGAUAUUUAGAGGAUCAAAAAUAUCGGGAUAAGUCGUCCACGUUGGCACGACUCAUCAUCCGGAAUCUGAUAUUGCACUUAUUCUCUCUUUUACCUUCCAAAAGCGCAAUAAAAAAAAAUUAUAUACCAUUUACUUUUCGUUUCCUUUCAUCCAAACAGACCCCAGAAAUAUCUCCGCUUCUUUGUCUGACUUUGAUCCAAUUCUACUGAUCAAAUUUGGGGACUUUGGAGAGUGUAAAUUAUGGGAGAGGAAGUGAAGAUGAGGGAGUGCGAAGCCAACGGAGAUGAAGAGAGAGUUGCACUGUGGGAGAUUGGCCUACCUGCUGCCGACGACCUCACCCCUUUGUCUCAGCCGUUGGUUCCCCCGGAGCUCGCGUCGGCGUUCAGUAUCUCGCCGGAGCCUCACCGUACGAUUCUCGAAGUCAACCGAGCUUCGCAAAAUACUGUCUCGAAUAUCCGUGGCGCUGGCGGUGGGGGACUGUUAAACGCGUUGUCCUCGAAUAACUUCAAGUCUUAUAAUGAAGACCGAGCUCGUGACUCGAUGGUCGUGGAGCCGGAGCCGGAGCCGGAGGAGAACAAUAUGGAUCCGGAUGGUUCGGGGUCCGAGUCGAGGAAGUUGAGGAAAAUCGAUUCAGGAGAGGCGGAUUCGGCUUUGAGAGCGGAGAAUUUCGGCGACGAUCCAUCGGCGAGGACCCUGAAACGGCCACGUCUAGUUUGGACCCCGCAGUUGCACAAGAGAUUCGUGGAUGUGGUGGGUUAUCUCGGUAUCAAAAGUGCAGUACCAAAGACCAUCAUGCAGUUGAUGAACGUGGAAGGUUUGACCCGCGAGAAUGUGGCUAGCCAUUUGCAAAAGUAUCGCCUUUAUUUGAAGAGGAUGCAGGGGUUGUCAAGUGAGGGUCCAUCGUCUUCUGAUCAGUUGUUUGCCUCCACGCCCGUGCCGCAGAGCUUGCAUGAGAAUGGUAGUGGCGCAGGCGGGGGUGGCAGUGGAGGGAGUGGAUCAGCCCACGGGAAUGGGCAUUUGGGAAUGCCUAUUCCUGGCCCGUAUCAUCCAGCGGCGGGGCCGAUGGUGCCAAUGCCGGUGUAUGGGCACAUGGGGAUGCAAAUGGGCAAUCAUCAUCAUCAUCAUGGGUUUGAUGGUAAUAUUUCCUAUAAUAUGUUACAACAGAGGGAUUGGAGCGGGAAUAAUUAUGGUUCGGUCGUGUCUUACCCGCAUCAUCCUCAGCAUGUUACUCCUCCUAAUGACAAUAUGUGAAGGACUGAAGACUUCUUUUUGACACGCCUUUAGGGACAGAGAAAGAAAGGUGAGUUUGUCUGUUUGGGUUGCUAAGAUAUAAAUUAAUUGCUGAUUGAUGUUGUUUCUAUUUGAUAAUGAAAUAGAAAUAAUAAAUAUAGCUCUUUCAAAUCUAAUUCUGGUUGCUUGCUUAUAAACAGUACUAUUUAGUUACGUUAGAACUGCAAUUGUUAAAAUUUUAUUGCUGUAAGUCACUUGUAGAAAUCCUGGCUUCCUCCAGAAAUAUUUUGUGCCAGAGACCAGGUGUUUUGAACUGGUUCUUCGACCUGAAGUGAAAUAUUUCUGCAGAUUCUGAAGUAUGGCACGUGUUGUACAUUAACUCUGGCCAACAGUUUGCACAUUUGACAAACAUGAGAGGGGUUUUCAGGAAGGCAUGUAUCAAGAAAAUUCAGAGACAUAUUUCGGAUGUGAUGCAGGUUCUGCAUGAAUAAUGAAUACUUGCAAUCCUUCUUUUGAUAGAUAUCUUAUUUUAGUUAUCUGAGGGAAACCGAAGGAUCUGGGCACAUCACUUAUCGUUACUUCAGAUGAUGACAACUCUUGGCUUACAUUCAUGACCUGUUCUUUAAUUGAUAAGUGUUUGUAGAAGUGGAUAUAUUAAGCCACUUAUUUUGGCAAUAUAGGGACAGAGAAUAAAGGAGCACUAAACAAAAUUCAUUUAUAACCUACAAUUCUGUGUACUGAACGCAAUUGCCAUUCUAUAUUCUUUUGGAGUGUCUUGAAAGUGAGCUGAUUAGUAAGUUACCCACCUCUGUUCAAACCAAAGGUUUCUCAUUUAUUUGAAGCAUUUUCAAUUUUUGUGGGGAGUUUCCUUA